CCGGGAGUGGUAGUACGCACGCCACCUCAGUGCGCCUGCGCUCUGCCGAAUUCCGCAAUGGCGGCUGGGAAAUGUAGUCCCCUUCGGCUUCUGUCGCCAGGGUGUAAAAACUAAGAAGUUAUCCGAGCUUCACUUCGGGGAAGGAAGAAUUUGAGCGAGUGCCGGGGAAACUUUUUUCAGCCACUCCUGGCUGGUGCCCAGGACCUGGAGCAUUCUUUAUCUGAAGUGCCGUGUUCCAGUCCUCUAUCGACUACUACUUUUUCGUGUAACUUCCAUGCCUUAGUUUCCCCAUCACAAAAUGUGCUGUUCGGCUGGUGCACACAACAAAACGUUUGAAAAGCCAAGAUCACGGUACAGAAACAAGAGAUGAUCUCAUCAGUGCCAGGGAAAGCUUCCAUGAGGCCCUCACUAGUGACUUUGGAAGCUAGAAAUCCUCUCUGGUGUUGCAAGUGCAGGAAUUCGGUGGGUUCAUUCUUCUCUAAGGAAAAGGUGGCCUCAGAAUCAACUCCCUUCCUGGUGAUGAGCACAAGCCAUAUGCCUAACCUCAUGACACCCCUUUAAUUAAAAGACCACCACAGGUAAAUCAUCUUUACUAUAUGGAAAUAGUUUCCUUCAUCAGGAAUAUGCCUCCUGUUUCCUUUUUGCCAAAUGACAUUUCAUCAUUUGUUGCCCUAGCCACUUACUAUUCUCCUUUAAUUUGAGGUUAUACUCAUUUGUACUGGUAGAUUUCAUGACUUUCAGCCAUUCCUGGCAUAUAGCCUGCUCAGCCAUGGUAUGUUAUUCUUUUGAAACAUCGCUCAUUCCAUGAAUUAACAUUUUCCUAAAAAUGUUUGCAUCUAUAUUCAAAAGCAAGAAUAUACUGUAUAUAUUUUUGGUUGCAUGUAUCAGGUUUUGGAUGCGAUGAUCUGUUCUUUCAAAGGUAGAUGCAUCUUGCUUUUAAAACCUUAAAAAAAAUAAAAUAAAAGGAGGAUCGCCAGAGGCCUUCCC